UUCGUAGGUGGCCAACUUAGUCAGACGUGAAAUCCCUCAGCUUAACUGGGGAACUGCGUCUGAUACUGGAUGGCUUGAGUGCAGGAGAGGAACGCGGAAUUCCAGGUGUAGCGGUGAAAUGCGUAGAUAUCUGGAGGAACACCGGUGGCGAAGGCGGCGUUCUGGACUGCAACUGACACUGAGGAACAAAGCCAGGGAGCAAACG
rnacentral:rRNA from 1 species